AUGGGGGGACCAUCCUCCAAGGCUAAAUACUCCUGACUGACCGAUAGUGAACCAGUACCGUGAGGGAAAGGCGAAAAGAACCCCGGCGAGGGGAGUGAAAAAGAACCUGAAACCGUGUACGUACAAGCAGUGGGAGCACAGAGCAAUCUGUGUGACUGCGUACCUUUUGUAUAAUGGGUCAGCGACUUAUAUUCUGUAGCAAGGUUAACCGAAUAGGGGAGCCGAAGGGAAACCGAGUCUUAACCGGGCGUUAAGUUGCAGGGUAUAGACCCGAAACCCGGUGAUCUAGCCAUGGGCAGGUUGAAGGUUGGGUAACACUAACUGGAGGACCGAACCGACUAAUGUUGAAAAAUUAGCGGAUGACUUGUGGCUGGGGGUGAAAGGCCAAUCAAACCGGGAGAUAGCUGGUUCUCCCCGAAAGCUAUUUAGGUAGCGCCUCGUGAAUUCAUCUCCGGGGGUAGAGCACUGUUUCGGCAAGGGGGUCAUCCCGACUUACCAACCCGAUGCAAACUGCGAAUACCGGAGAAUGUUAUCACGGGAGACACACGGCGGGUGCUAACGUCCGUCGUGAAGAGGGAAACAACCCAGACCGCCAGCUAAGGUCCCAAAGUCAUGGUUAAGUGGGAAACGAUGUGGGAAGGCCCAGACAGCCAGGAUGUUGGCUUAGAAGCAGCCAUCAUUUAAAGAAAGCGUAAUAGCUCACUGGUCGAGUCGGCCUGCGCGGAAGAUGUAACGGGGCUAAACCAUGCACCGAAGCUGCGGCAGCGACACUGUGUGUUGUUGGGUAGGGGAGCGUUCUGUAAGCCUGUGAAGGUGUGCUGUGAGGCAUGCUGGAGGUAUCAGAAGUGCGAAUGCUGACAUAAGUAACGAUAAAGCGGGUGAAAAGCCCGCUCGCCGGAAGACCAAGGGUUCCUGUCCAACGUUAAUCGGGGCAGGGUGAGUCGACCCCUAAGGCGAGGCCGAAAGGCGUAGUCGAUGGGAAACAGGUUAAUAUUCCUGUACUUGGUGUUACUGCGAAGGGGGGACGGAGAAGGCUAUGUUGGCCGGGCGACGGUUGUCCCGGUUUAAGCGUGUAGGCUGGUUUUCCAGGCAAAUCCGGAAAAUCAAGGCUGAGGCGUGAUGACGAGGCACUACGGUGCUGAAGCAACAAAUGCCCUGCUUCCAGGAAAAGCCUCUAAGCAUCAGGUAACAUCAAAUCGUACCCCAAACCGACACAGGUGGUCAGGUAGAGAAUACCAAGGCGCUUGAGAGAACUCGGGUGAAGGAACUAGGCAAAAUGGUGCCGUAACUUCGGGAGAAGGCACGCUGAUAUGUAGGUGAAGUCCCUCGCGGAUGGAGCUGAAAUCAGUCGAAGAUACCAGCUGGCUGCAACUGUUUAUUAAAAACACAGCACUGUGCAAACACGAAAGUGGACGUAUACGGUGUGACGCCUGCCCGGUGCCGGAAGGUUAAUUGAUGGGGUCAGCGCAAGCGAAGCUCUUGAUCGAAGCCCCGGUAAACGGCGGCCGUAACUAUAACGGUCCUAAGGUAGCGAAAUUCCUUGUCGGGUAAGUUCCGACCUGCACGAAUGGCGUAAUGAUGGCCAGGCUGUCUCCACCCGAGACUCAGUGAAAUUGAACUCGCUGUGAAGAUGCAGUGUACCCGCGGCAAGACGGAAAGACCCCGUGAACCUUUACUAUAGCUUGACACUGAACAUUGAGCCUUGAUGUGUAGGAUAGGUGGGAGGCUUUGAAGUGUGGACGCCAGUCUGCAUGGAGCCGACCUUGAAAUACCACCCUUUAAUGUUUGAUGUUCUAACGUGGACCCGUGAUCCGGGUUGCGGACAGUGUCUGGUGGGUAGUUUGACUGGGGCGGUCUCCUCCUAAAGAGUAACGGAGGAGCACGAAGGUUGGCUAAUCCUGGUCGGACAUCAGGAGGUUAGUGCAAUGGCAUAAGCCAGCUUGACUGCGAGCGUGACGGCGCGAGCAGGUGCGAAAGCAGGUCAUAGUGAUCCGGUGGUUCUGAAUGGAAGGGCCAUCGCUCAACGGAUAAAAGGUACUCCGGGGAUAACAGGCUGAUACCGCCCAAGAGUUCAUAUCGACGGCGGUGUUUGGCACCUCGAUGUCGGCUCAUCACAUCCUGGGGCUGAAGUAGGUCCCAAGGGUAUGGCUGUUCGCCAUUUAAAGUGGUACGCGAGCUGGGUUUAGAACGUCGUGAGACAGUUCGGUCCCUAUCUGCCGUGGGCGCUGGAGAACUGAGGGGGGCUGCUCCUAGUACGAGAGGACCGGAGUGGACGCAUCACUGGUGUUCGGGUUGUCAUGCCAAUGGCACUGCCCGGUAGCUAAAUGCGGAAGAGAUAAGUGCUGAAAGCAUCUAAGCACGAAACUUGCCCCGAGAUGAGUUCUCCCUGACCCUUUAAGGGUCCUGAAGGAACGUUGAAGACGACGACGUUGAUAGGCCGGGUGUGUAAGCGCAGCGAUGCGUUGAGCUAACCGGUACUAAUGAACCGUGAGGCUUAACCUU
rnacentral:rRNA from 1 species